CUGCAGCUGGUGGGACUGGGAGCAAAAUGCUGCCGCUGUGCAAGGACCCGGUACUGCUACAGCAAUCUUCUAGUGCCGAACCGGCUCAGCCUAGACCUUGGAUAUGGGAGAAGCUGUUCCCUUCUACAUUUUCGACUCAGGAGUCUGAUUACAAGUAAAGCACCACUAAAGUUCAUCUCAUAAAAAUGCCGCAAGCUCACUUUGAUCAGCGUGGACUGGGGUCCAGAGCCUAAGUAGGCGCUAAAGCCGGGGAAUGGCGGCUUCGGCCAACCGAUCCACAGCUCCGCAGUGAGGGGGAGACCCGGGUAGCCCAAGAGGGCAAUCUCCCCCAGAGAAGUGUUUUCUUCCUAGAUCAUGGCCAUCAAGAUCUGCUCUCUAGCACCUAGGGUAGCAGGAGGAGGUAGACGGGCUGCAAAGCCACCCCAAUGGUGUGUCCAAGAGUUUGCCUGGGAGCUGCCCAGGCCAAAUUCAGUGGAAACUGCCCCCUUCUGAAGCGGCCCCUGUUGUCCCUGUGUGGGAAGGAAGGCACUGGAGCCUGUCAUUUCUCUGGCCAGACCACCGAGACAGCCGCCCAGACCGCAGCCGCCUGCCACACCAGGCAGGCAGGCAGCAGGGACCAAGGCCACCAAGAGCCAGCGAGGAGGGCAAGAUAGCCCUGCCAGAUGGUUUCAGGUGAAGGCCUGGCCUCCAGGUGGAUGGAGGGGCCACCGGGUGCCCACCAGUUUCAAGGAAAUCAGGCUGCCAGCCAUCCCUUGCAGCCGCCUGGCUCAUUUUAUGGUGGCCCUGGAAUAAACUUUGGUGGUCAAAUUCAAGUGCUGAGGCCCACAGCUGUCUCCUCACAGGAAGCAGCCCACCCCUCUUGGGCCUGGCUGUGCAGAAUGAGCCUUGG
ensembl:lncRNA